CCCUUAGAUGUUCUGGGCUGCACGCGCGCUACACUGAUGCGUUCAACGAGUGUAUCACCUUGCCCGAUAGGGUUGGGUAAUCUUUUGAACACGCAUCGUGAUGGGGAUAGAUUAUUGCAAUUAUUAAUCUUCAACGAGGAAUUCCUAGUAAUGAUGAAUCAUCAGUUCAUCGUGAUUACGUCCCUGCCCUUUGUACACACCGCCCGUCGCUACUACCGAUUGAAUGGUUUAGUGAGGCCUUCGGAUCCGCGACUCGUUUUGUGGAGAAGUUGGACAAACUCAGUCAUUUAGAGGAAGUAAAAGUCGUAACA
rnacentral:rRNA from 1 species